rfam:Oryza sativa Japonica Group DNA, chromosome 3, cultivar: Nipponbare, complete sequence.
AAUAAGUUUAUUUAUAGGUUUUUAUAUCCAACGUUGACUAUUCAUCUUGUUUGAAACUUUUUUAUGAUUAGUAGUUUUAUUGUUAUUAGAUGACAAAAACAUGAAUAUUACUUUAUAUGUGACUUUUUUUUCAUAAAAUUUUCAAAUAAUAUAGGUGGUCAAACUUAUACACAGAAACCCA